rnacentral:sRNA from 1 species
CUCCGCGCCGCCGUCGCCACCGCCACCGCCACUACCACCGGCUGAGUCUGCAGUCCCGAGGAGAUCCCAGCCAUCAUGUCCAUAGAGAAGAUCUGGGCCCGGGAGAUCCUGGACUCCCGCGGGAACCCCACAGUGGAGGUGGAUCUCUAUACUGCCAAAGGGCUUUUCCGGGCUGCAGUGCCCAGUGGAGCCUCUACGGGUAUCUAUGAGGCCCUGGAGCUGAGGGAUGGAGACAAACAGCGUUACUUAGGCAAAGGUGUCCUGAAGGCAGUGGACCACAUCAACUCCACCAUCGCGCCAGCCCUCAUCAGCUCAGGUCUCUCUGUGGUGGAGCAAGAGAAACUGGACAACCUGAUGCUGGAGUUGGAUGGGACUGAGAACAAAUGUGAGCCGGGGCCGGGAGAAAGUGGGGAAGCGUCGGGGUGGGGAGGCAUGGAGCAGAUAGAGAGCUGAAGGGCCAGUGCUGUAGUGGCUUCCUCAGGAAUGACUGUCAGGGGCCUUCUCAUCUCAAAGCCAGAGCAAGAGGAGAUGAGUUUA